UAAUUAUUAAUUUAUGAUAUUGAUGAGACCAUAUAUUUAUAUAGGAUUUUCAAAAAAAUUAUUAUCUUAUUAAUUUAUCGAUUUGUGUCACUUUUUAUACUGAUCCCAACUCGGAACCAAAAACAUUUCUUAAUUUAUAGAGAUUAUUAAUUUAUCGAGUAUUAAUUUAUAGAGGUUUUACUA
rnacentral:sRNA from 1 species